rnacentral:rRNA from 1 species
GUCUAUAGCCAUGCUACCCUGAACAAGCCUAAUCCUGUCUGAUCUUGGAAGCUAAGCAGGGUCGGGCCUGGUUAGACUUGGCCACCUAGGAAGACCAGGUACUAUAGGUG